UUUGUACUCCGUCCGUCCCAAAAUUCUUGUCUUAAGUUUGUCUAGAUACGGAUGUAUCUAGUACUAGAUACAUCCGUAUCUAGAAAAAUGUAAGACAAAAUUUUUGGGAUGCAUGUCACUAAGAA
rfam:Triticum aestivum genome assembly, contig: Triticum_aestivum_CS42_TGACv1_scaffold_115650_2AS